UGAGUAAGGUGAGUUUGAGUUUUUUUGUUUCAAGUCUCUUUUGGCAUAACACUCGUUCACCAUUUCCCAUCUUUGCUCGCUCUCUUUUUUUCUUCUUCAGUGACAUACAGUCCCCCUUGUGAUUAAUUUCUCUCAGUCCUUGUUCAAAUCCAAUUACAGUUAAUGGAGCCAACCAUCUUCCAAAAGAAGACCACCUAAAUCGAUCUCUACCGCCAUCACCCAAGUACUCUCUCUCGCUCUCUCUCUCAAACCCUGUUCCUAUCUUAACCUAAAUUUCCCGAUUCUCUCUCUCAACCUUAGCCGUGCCUCAAACUCUUAUCUCAUAUCUCAAAGGAUAUUAAUUAUAAUUGGAAGGACCAAAAGAUGUAGAAAGGGGAUCUUGGUAGCAAAAGGGAUGUUGCUCCAUCCCUAGCAUCUAUCAAUCCCGAUGCAAUUCCGAUAGCAAAAGAGGAUAAAAUUCAUCAAGGCCUCCAGCCCUAGCAAGAUGAUAGAGCACGAAAAGCCAGCGCAAAUCCAGUCAAUUUAGAACAAGCUGAAGAGGAAGAAGCCGGAGAAGCUGGCCAGAGAGGAAGAGAAGUGAUGGCCUAGGGUUUCAAAGAGGGAUAGGCAUUCGAGGAAGCGGAGUAGAAGCAGAGAGAGGGAGUCGAGGCGUCGGAGUAAGAGCAGGGAGAGAUAUAGAGAUAGGGAGAGAGAUAGAGAGAGAAGGAGGAGGAGGAGGAGCAUGUCUGGGAGUGAAUUUGAUGGAGAUAGGAGACGGAGGAGUUGGUCUCCUAGGACUCGGAGAAAGGAGUAGCGGAGGAGCCGAAGCCAGAGCUCGUUGUCGCCGAGGGAGAGGGGUUUGGAGAAAGUAGAGGUAAAUUAAAGAAGGAGAGGAGUGGUGGUGGUGCUGACUAUUACAAAUUGAUUCAAGGCUAUGACAAAAUGUCUGCAGCAGAGAGAGUAAAAGUGAAUAUGAAUUUUCAACUUGCUGAAACCGCUGAGAAGGACACAAACAAAGGCAUGGGUGUAUUCAAUAUGUAAUGCUGAUGGUGUGGAGCUUGGAUGUAUGGGAAAAGCGGGCUAGUAAUUUCUUGAAGAGUCCGGUUGGUCGUUUGUCUAAACCUCCUACUUAGAUUGACAUUAAAUUUCAGAAAGAUGAGAUACACCUUGUAGUUAUACAGAACACCCAAUUAGCCAUAUUUGAAGCAUCAAAGUUGGAGUGCCUUAAGCAGGUCUCUCUGGCAUUCAUUUCAUCAUUAAUUGUGUCUGCUAUAUAUGAUGUUUCAAUACUCAAAUUUUUUGCAUGUUUAUAUUUUGACUCAACUUUCAAGGAAGGCUACA